GACGAACGCUGGCGGCGUGCUUAACACAUGCAAGUCGAACGGAAAGGCCCUGCUUUUGUGGGGUGCUCGAGUGGCGAACGGGUGAGUAACACGUGAGUAACCUGCCCUUGACUUUGGGAUAACUUCAGGAAACUGGGGCUAAUACCGGAUAGGAGCUCCUGCUGCAUGGUGGGGGUUGGAAAGUUUCGGCGGUUGGGGAUGGACUCGCGGCUUAUCAGCUUGUUGGUGGGGUAGUGGCUUACCAAGGCUUUGACGGGUAGCCGGCCUGAGAGGGUGACCGGCCACAUUGGGACUGAGAUACGGCCCAGACUCCUACGGGAGGCAGCAGUGGGGAAUAUUGCACAAUGGGCGGAAGCCUGAUGCAGUAACGCCGCGUGCGGGAUGACGGCCUUCGGGUUGUAAACCGCUUUCGCCUGUGACGAAGCGUGAGUGACGGUAAUGGGUAAAGAAGCACCGGCUAACUACAUG
rnacentral:rRNA from 1 species